GACAGAGGGUGCAAACGUUGCCCGGAAUCACUGGGCGUAAAGGGCGUGUAGGCGGGAAGGAAAGUCAGAUGUGAAAUCCCCAGGCUCAACCUGGGAACUGCAUUUGAAACUCCCUUUCUUGAGUACCGGAGAGGAAAGCGGAAUUCCUGGUGUAGAGGUGAAAUUCGUAGAUAUCAGGAGGAACACCAGCGGCGAAGGCGGCUUUCUGGACGGUAACUGACGCUGAGACGCGAAAGCGUGGGGAGCAAACAGG
rnacentral:rRNA from 1 species